UCUUCCCCAUUAUCAUCAUAAACGCUGAACAGCGUUGAGAAGGAAGAAGAACUUCCCUAACCAUCAUCAAUUUUCCAAUUACCAUAACUCCCCCGUUUAAGCUCCGAUCGCCGCAUUGUUCGCGGCCACGCGUCCAGCGCGUUGAGCUCUACAUUUCUGUCGGAUCAAUUUUACCGAUGCAGGUCGAGAGGCUCCUCGCUAGGCGUCUGGAUUCUGGAAGCGGAGUAGUCCUGGGUGUAUUUUGGGCUUUAUGAUUGUGUAUAUAUGA